rnacentral:lncRNA from 1 species
UUUAGUACACAUGAUCUUAGAGAUUUAUGUUAAGAAGAUUUAAUUCGCAAUAAUGAUGCUAUUAAUUUAAUUUAGUCUAUGGACCAUCAUAUUGGUGGUAACCAUUUUCUUGAGUAGUAGUAGUAUUUAGUGUGUACCGUCAAUGGUUAAUGGAUAGCAUAGACUUACUAAAAUCUUGCCUCACAUGAAGGAAAAAAUAAAAUCAAAACCAUGGAGAUGGAGACUGC